UUUUUCUGAAUGUUUGCCUAAAGAUUGUCUUCAUACAUGGGAAGAAGAUGCAAGGAAAUCCCUAAGAUGGAAAAUCCUGGAACUAUCAGAACAGCCUCCAAAAAAAUCAUUCUAAAGCACGCCAUUCACGAAUGCAAGGAACAUCUGAUAAGGAGAAUGAUCAACUAAUCCAAACUCAGAACUCACUCAUAAAUACUAAACACCAUGGUCUGGGGAGAUGGCUUCAUAGGAGACAAUGGUGAGAAUAUAUAACAUUGAAAGUAACGUUAUUAUAUUGAUUGAUGACUAUUCAACAACUGUUUAUGUAUUAUCAAAGGUUUGUCAUAAUUUAGC